rfam:Mus musculus chromosome 7, GRC primary reference assembly.
GGAUCUAUGAUGAUUCCCAGUCAAACAUUCCUUGGAAAAGCUGAACAAAAUGAGUGAAAACUCUGUACCGCCACUCUCAUCGGAACUGAGGUCC